GGCGAACGGGUGAGGAACACGUAAGAAUCUACCUUUCGGUUGGGGAUAACUUCUAGAAACGGGAGCUAAUACCCAAUAUGCUGUGGAGUGAAAGAAUUUCGCCGAGAGACGAUCUUGCGUCUGAUUAGCUUGUUGGGGUGGUAAUGGCACCCCAAGGCGACGAUCAGUAGCUGGUCUGAGAGGAUGGACAGCCACAUUGGGACUGAGACACGGCCCAGACUCCUACGGGAGGCAGCAAUGGGGAAUUUUCCGCAAUGGACGAAAGUCUGACGGAGCGACGCUGCGUGAAGGAUGAAGGCCCGUGGGUUGUAAACUUCUUUUCUCGAAGAAGAAAAAAAUGACGGUAUUCGAGGAAUAAGCAUCGGCUAACUCUGUGCCAGCAGCCGCGGUAAGACAGAGGAUGCAAGUGUUAUUCGGAAUGAUUGGGCGUAAAGAGUCUGUAGGCGGUUUAGAAAGUCUUUUGUGAAAUACUUCAGCUCAACUGAGGCUCCGCAAAAGAAACUUCUAGACUUGAGGAAAGUAGAGGUACAGGGAAUUUCCGGUGGAGCGGUGAAAUGCGUAGAUAUCGGAAGGAACACCAAUAUGGCGAAGGCACUGUACUGGGCUUUUCCUGACGCUCAGAGACGAAAGCUGAAGGAGUGAUUAGGAUUAGAUACCCUAGUAAUUUCAGCCGUAAACGAUGAAAACUCACUGUCGAGCCAAUAUAUGGAGCGGUGGUCAAGCUAACGCGUGAAGUUUUCCGCCUGGGGAUUACGCUUGCAAAAGUGAAACUCAAAGGAAUUGACGGGGACCCGCACAAGCGGUGGAGUAUGUGGUUUAAUUCGAUGCAACGCGAAAAACCUUACCAGGGUUUGAAAUAAUUUCAAAACUUCUUGAAAGAGAAGCCUCCUUCGGGAUGGAAUUACAGGUGGUGCAUGGCUGUCGUCAGCUCGUGUUGUGAAAUGUCAAGUUAAGUCUUGUAACGAGCGCAACCCAUGUCUCUUGUUGCUGUUUACAGUGCUUAAGAGAAACUGCCGAUCAACAUCGGAGGAAGGUGUGGAUGAUGUCAAGUCAGCAUGCCCCUUACAUCCUGGGCUACACACGUACUACAAUG
rnacentral:rRNA from 1 species